GCAAUGGUGGCUCAGUGGCAGAGCUCUUGCCUUCCAUGUGGGAGACCCGGGUUUGAUUCCUGGCCUUUGAA
rnacentral:tRNA from 1 species